rnacentral:lncRNA from 1 species
GGUCUUUGAACAGUGGUCUUGUCAUUUUCAGUGUCAUGGACACUAUCAUGCUACAAUGUGCCACAAACAAACUGAUUUCUUUGUCUCCCAAUAGCUAGAUUUAUUUGUGACAAUUAGUAGGCUAAUCUAACUAAGCACCCUGAAAGCAAUGAAUAUUGCGUGGAAUAAUAUAUUAGAUUGAUUGAGAGACCUAUGUACAUAUAUAUAGGGAAGAGAAGAUCCGGUGGUUUAUAGAAAUAAGACCAACCGAGAUCUUCUCAUAUCUCUCUAAUCAAGCAGGGCUGGCCGGCUACCAUACCAGGCACAUGCCUACCAUAUACACACGCACAGCACAUAUAUAUAUACAAUCUAACACACCCCCGCAGUCACAGCGUCGAGUCGUCGGACGUUGAGACUGGACCGAAACUCCGUGAAGACAGAAGUGGGCAAGCCUUUGGUGAAAAUGUCAGCGAACUGUGACGUCGUCGGGACGUGGAGAACGCAAACUGCUCCAAGGGCCACUCGUUCUCGAACGAAGUGAAGAUCAAUCUCAAUGUGUUUGGUACGCUGAUGCUGAACGGGGUUAGCAGACAUGUAUACAGUGCUGAUGUUAUCACAGUAAACCAAGGUGGCUUGACCCAAAGGUGUGUGAAGUUCUGCAAGCAGCUGAUGCAGCCAGGAUGCCUCAGCCACAGCAUUGGCGACAGCGCGAUACUCCGCCUCGGCACUGGAACGGGAGACAGUAUUCUGACGCUUGGAAGACCAGGAAACCAAAUUGUCACCAAGAAAAACUGCGUAGCCUGAGGUAGACUUGCGAGUGUCAGGACAUCCGGCCCAAUCCGCAUCAGAGUAGACCACCAGCUCAGUCUGACUAGAAGCACGCAAAUGAAGACCCAAGUCAAGAGUGCCACGAACAUAACGAAGGAUCCGCUUGAGGGCUGCAAGAUGAGGCUCGCGCGGAUCAUGCAUGUGAAGACACACCUGCUGAACUGCAUAUGCGAUAUCAGGUCGAGUGAAGGUGAGAUACUGUAAAGCCCCAGCUAGACUGCGAAAAUCCAUAGGAUCUGAAAUAGGGUCACCAUCAGCAGACAACUUCGGAUUGAGAUCUACUAGAGUGGAACAGGGCUUAGAAGCAGCCAUCCCAGCGCGGUCCAAAAUGUCCAGCAAGUACUGGUGUUGGGACAGGAACAGCCCGGAGGGAGUACGCUGAACUUGCAUCCCCAAGAAAUGAUGAAGCUCACCCAGAUCUUUCAUAGAGAACUCUUGCUGAAGGGCUGCAAUGAUCCGACGAAGCAAUUCUAUGGAGGAGGCCGUCAACACAAUGUCAUCCACAUACAGCAAGAGAUAGGCAGUAUCUUGACCACGGUGAAACACGAACAGCGACGUGUUCGUCCUGGCUUCCACAAAACCCAGAUGAAGAAGAAAAUUUGCAAGGCGACUGUACCAAGCACGCGGCGCCUGUUUCAGCCCAUAGAGGCACCGAUUUAGGAGGCACACAAAAUCUGGGUGAGAUGAAUCCUCAAAUCCCGAAGGCUGGACAUAGUAAACUGUCUCAGACAAGUUCCCAUGAAGAAAAGCAUUCUUCACAUCAAGCUGAUGCACUGGCCAAUGGCGAGAGACCGCAAGAGACAGAACUGUUCGGACAGUAGCAGGCUUCACAACGGGACUGAAAGUCUCAUCAUAGUCGAUGCCGGGACGUUGAGUGAAUCCUCAAAGAACCCAACGUGCUUUGUAGCGCUCAAGAGAACCAUCAGCCUUGAACUUGUGUUUGAACACCCAUUUGCCUGUAACCACGUUGGAUCGAGGUGGACGGUGAACGAGAUCCCAAGUGUGGUUGGCAAGAAGUGCAGAGAACUCCUGCAUAGCCGCGCGCCAAUUGGGAUCGGCAAGUGCGACGCGGUAGGUCCUCGGGAUGGGUGACAAGGAGGCAACCUGGAGAGUGACCGUCUGAGCGACCGGCUGUCGAAAGCCGGCCUUGCCCCUCGUUCGCAUGGCAUGCUGAUUUGCCACAGGAACGAUGGGAACAGCCCCAGCAGGAAGACGUUCCGGAGCUGUGGAGGCCGGUGGUACCGGGGAGACUAUCUGAGGAGUUGGUGGUGAAGCCGGUGGACGCGGGCGACGGCUGUAUGUCAGGCGGACAGGUGGUAUGGGCGCCAGUACAGCCAAAUCAGUCGGGGAAGUCGAGGUCGCCUUGGUUGAAGGGUGCUGCGGGCACCGGUGAUACACAAAACCGCCCCAGCGCUGAAAGCUGAGCGGUGGAGCAGCAGGCGCAAGGCAGGCUGCUGGUGAUGUCCGGCUGGUUGCCGGGCUGGGUGGAGCAGCAGACGCAUGGCCGGCUGCUGGUGGUGGCCGGCUGAUUGCCGGGCUGGGCAGUGAGGCAGCAGGUGCGUCGGCUGCUUGUGUUGACCGGCUGGCUGCUGGAGACCGGCUGCACACCACUGGAGCCGCGGUGGCUGCUGAGACAGCCUGGCUGGCUGCUGGGAGGUGCAGACUGGUCGGCACAUCAGAUUCCAGGGAGGUGGCAGCGACCCUAGGGGUGCCACCUCCUGGAGCAGCCGCAGGACCUGGAGUACCUGUAGGGGCAAAAAAAGAUGGCACUGGUGGAGCCACCAUAGGGUCAGUAGAUAAGAAAUCAAAGUCCUGAGGCGCGGGAUGUCCAGGAACCUUAGAAAACGGGAAGGAAGUCUUGUAACACCCGGCCCAGGGCUUAAUAGGAUUAAUAGGAGACUCAUACCAACAAGUUGCAACUUCUUUUCCGGAAGCCCAUCUCCAAAGAACUCUAAAGUUCAGCGUGCUUGGCCUGGAGAAAUUUAGGGAUGGGUGACCGACCGGGAAGUACUUCCCGGGUGCACACGAGUGAGGACAAAGUAUGCAGAAAAGACUAGUAUUGGUUUGUCGGGACUGACUAUGUCCUAGAAAAGCUGCCAGAUGUAAACGGGCCCAGCCUCAUGGAGGCGGGACGUUACAAGUCUCAUCAAAGACAACAUGCAGUGGGAUAAUGACCCCGUUGGAGGACCGGUCAAGACAACAGUAGCCUUUGUGAUGAGGAGAAUAACCGAGGAACACACACAAGGAUGAGCGAGGAGCAAGUUUGUGUGGUGCAGUGGCAGAUAAAUUGGGAUAGCAACGACAACCAAAGACACGAAGAUGCUCAUAAGUUGGCGGGGAGCCAAACAGAGCCUGAUGCGGAGUGUUGAAGUGAAGUGUCUUGGUAGGAAGAAUGUUGAGGACCAUGGUAGCAGUGGAGAGUGCCUCAACCCAAUAUGCAGGUGGGACACCGGCCUGAAACAGUAAAGAGCGAACAACGUUAUUAAUGGUUCGGAUAACACGUUCGGCUUUACCGUUCUGAGGUGAAGUGUAUGGGCAGGACAUGCGCAACUGAACACCAUGGGAGAGGAAGAAAGCACGGGUGCUGAGGUUGUCGAAUUCUCGGCCAUUGUCGCACUGUAUGCCCUGGAUAGGGACGCUGAACUGUGUAGCGACAUAGGCAAAGAAGUGAGACAAAGUGAGAAAAGUGUCAGAUUUGAGUCGGUGAGGAAACGUCCACAAGUAAUGUGUGAAAUCAAGUAUAACCAGGUAAUAUUUGUGACCAGCAAUACUAGUGAUGGGAUACAUGACUAGUGCGAGAUGAAGACACAGGAAAAGGUAGACGUGUAUGACGACCUAACUGACAAGCAUGACAUAAGGUUUGUUCAUCAUGUUUAUUACAAGGGAUAGCAGAUGUCUGCGCUAGCCUAGACAAAACUUCAUGACCCGGAUGACCAAGACGCUGGUGCCAAAGUGAGGAGCUGGUGGCAAGAAGAGUAGACGCAGAGGGCGAAAACAAACUCCAAUGGGUAGAGAGGACCGGAGCUGUCACACCUGACGAUCUCUCUUCGAGAACGAAGAUCCUUCACAGAACAGCCAAGGGAGUCAAACUCCACAGAACAAUUAUUAUCAGAGGUAAAUUGACGAACUGAAAUAAGGUUCUUAAUAAGGCUAGGUGAAACAAGCACAUUAUUAAGAUGAAGAUGAUGCGGAAGAUUGGUAGUGCCAGUUGAAGUAAGUAACGGGAAGAAGGUUCCCAUUACCGACGACAAUAUUUGAAGGUGAAGAGUGAGAAGCUAAGUGAACGGUGAGGUUACCAGCGUCGGAGGUCAUGUGAUUGGUAGCGCCCGAGUCGAAGUACCAGUUGGCCUGGGAAGGCUGCUGGAGUGACAGAGUCUGGAAAUUGGAGGCGAGGCUCGAAGUAUCCCAGCCGGGUGGAGGAAACGCAGGACUGUACAAGCCCGGUGGAGGAAGUGCCCACUGCUGAACCUGCUGCGCAGGCCAUCCCUGCUGUGUACCUGUCAGUAGCGCCUGAGGAAGUUGCUGCUGCUAUUGGACACCGGCGAGAAGGGCGUGCGGAUGAGGGAGCGUUGCUGGUCGCGGGCCGGGCCACAUGUUGAUGGACCCAGUCCACGGCUGAUGCAAAUUCGGCAUCCAUGGUUGGCCGGAUGGAGGACCUCCAGAUGUGGCAUUAGGCAUGCCUGUAGCAGGGGCACCGCGGCCACCACCCCUCUUGCCACGCAUGCCACGUUUGCCCUCGCUGCCCCCGGGGUGAGCAGGAGGCAGGGACGGUGGACGCUGCUGGGCAGUAGGUGUCGCUGGCGAUGAGUGGACAUUGCUGGCGAGAAGGGCAGUAGCCGAAGGAGCCGUAGCUCGAGCCGAAGGCGAAACGGUCAGAGCCAUGGUGAGUUCUUCAAGGAGCAGGUCGUUGCAGGCCUGAAGCAACGAGGGGAAGGGGCACCCGCGACGAAGAUGGAGACUGAUAGCUUCGAAGCGGCCGUUGAGGCCGCGCAGAAGGUUGAGGACGAGGUUCCGAUCGGUGAUCGGCUCUCCAAGGUUGCGAAGAGCAUCUGCCAUGCCCUUGAGCUUGCGGCAGUAUGUGGUGAUGUCGAGGUCGCCUUGGUUGAAGGUGCGGAAGGCGGCCUCGAGCUGCAGAGCCCGUGUUUCACGAUUGCCACAGAACUACGACUCAAUGGCAAGCCAAUGAGUGCGAGCGGUGGAGCCAGGUUCGACGACCGUUUCAGCGAGGGAGUCGGAGAUGGUGCCGGUGAGCCAGGUCUUCUCAACACAAUCCAUGCGAACCCAAUCAGGAGAGUCAGGUGCAGCCACAUCAGAGAGGAUGUGGUUCUGUAGGGAGUACCGGCCGACAACGAUGAGGAUGGAUUCGCGCCAGCGGCCGUAGAAGGAUGAGGCGACGUCGAGCACCAGCGGGACGAGGAGCCGGAUGUUCUGCACAGCCACAGCCCGGGCGUGCAGGUUGAUGAGGGCCGCGGCUUCGUGCUGAAGGAGGGCGGCGCGAAGAAGAGGAUCGCCGCCAUCGGCGGAGUUCAGAUCCUCCGCGUCCUCGGCAUCCUCGGCGUCGCUGGGGGCUCCGUCGUCCAGAGGAGAAGCGGCCGCGGCGCGCUCCUUGGCCGCGCGGUCGAGGGCGGCCUGAAGACGCGCGUUGGCCGCGUCGCGCUCCUGCUGAGCAGAGGCGGCCUCGCGCUCUGCAGCGGCCGCGCGUUCAGCAGCAGCGUCGCCGGCGGCUUGGGCAGUGCGGGCGCGUUCCGCCUUAGCGAGGCGGGCCUGUUCGGCCGCACGGUCGACGCUCCUCUUGGAGGGCAGCGGCACCGGCGGCGUCGGACACAAGCGCGCUAGACGCAGAGGCAUCGACGGGUUUGGCGUCGGGAUCCAUGGCGGCGCGAGGUCGUGCAGAGGCAGCGAGCAGGCGCAGGGGAAUAGGCGGCCAGGAAAGGAAAAACUAGGUCUUUGAUACCAUGAAAGCAAUGAAUAUUGCGUUGAAUAAUAGAUUAGAUUGAUUGAGAGACCUAUGUACAUAUAUAUAGGGAAGAGAAGAUCUGGUGGUUUAUAGAAAUAAGACCAACCGAGAUCUUCUCAUAUCUCUCUAAUCAAGCAGGGCUGGCCGGCUACCAUACCAUGCACAUGCCUACCAUAUACACACGCACAGCACAUAUAUAUAUACAAUCUAACACACCCACUAAGCCAGAUCUGACUUUAUAACAUAGACUAACCUAGGAGGCACUAGGCAGAUUUUUUUAUUAAGAAUAGAUAGGUACUUCAUAAGCGGCGUGUAUGGCAUGUCAAGUGUUACUUAUCAGCUUCUCCAAUCUUACCAUCUGUAGCGCUACCGCUGUGACUACGGGGGGAUGUUAGAGUAAAUAGGAAUAGUACCGUAUUGUGUACCCACAUAAGGUGUUAGUCCUAUGUAUCCUAUAUAAUCAGCCUGCACAGCGCGCCAGUGAUGUACCCUAUAUAAUCAGCCAUUGAGGCCCAAUGCAAUAUAUCAAAUAUUUCACCAAUU